rnacentral:misc_RNA from 1 species
GCGGAUUCGAUCGAGAUCUGCAGUGCCUGGCUGGAGCGGGGGCAGGGUGGUGUGUGGUGUGGGGGCAGGCAAAGGCAGGGGCUCGCGAUCUGCGCGGCGGUGGCGUGUCCUGCGUGCAGUGGAGCAGCCUGUCCGGUUCUACGAGACAGGAUAUGGCGGCCUUCGUCUGUUUCACGCUUCUCUGGCUUUAUCUACUACUACUAGCUUCUCCAAAGUUUGCUCGUCACUCUUUAUAACUCCUCUUAACACAACAGACAAUACCACUUCAAACCACAAGUGCAAAUGGAUGUGUAAACAAAAACAGUGUUUUUUUGCAACUUCUUCUCUGUUUUGGUUUCUCUUUUCCACCCGUCAGUGAGACAGUGACGGUGUGUCUGCCUGUCCGUGUUUCUGACCGGAGUGGACAGCCAUUACUGCCCCUCUGAUCUCUGACGGUGCCGCCGUGAUGACUGAUGAAGGGGGUAGUGCAGAGCAAAGGCACGCACGGACCAUGAUGAGAUCUGCUCGGAGGAGUUAAAGACCAACCAGUGCCAAUCUCCAAUCUCGUGACCAGAUGCAGACGCGUGCGCAGAGGAUAUCAUCAUCAUCGACCGCAAGCAGCAGAGUGCCAGCUCCGGGCGCAGUGCUACGAACGCACUGACUGCACUGGCUAAUCACAUGUACAAGUCUCGUCCGUAGACCGUAGUAGACAGUAGUAUACGACCGUACUCGUACAGGGAAAAGGUGGAUCAUCUGAUCCGAUCACGGAUGGAUGAGAAAAAGCGACCCGACAGAGAAGAGCUUCAGAGUUGAGUGCAUCCAUGCCAUGGAUAGGUAGGCAUUCCGAUCCCCCGCCGGAAAAGCUUGUGGCGAACUGCAUGCAGCCACUGCCGCGAGUGUUUUUUUUUUUUU